AAAUAUUCUGGUAGACACUGCUACAGAAAAAGUGAGCUUCAAUCAUUAGUAUUCAAAAAGUUUUUGACAGGUAGUGGCACAAGGUUUUGUUGUGAUUUCAUCCCUUUUAAAGUUCUCUCAUCAGUUUUCUUUCACUUUCUGUUACUAGCCUGUGGAAAAAUCACCAGCUGAGCGUGAGCGAGAAGCAGAAAGGGAGCGAGACCGCCAUUCUCCUUUCAGUCAGAGGCAUCUCCAUACCCACCACCAUACACACGUUGGAAUGGGCUAUCCUCUUAUACCUGGACAGUAUGACCCAUUUCAAGGAUUGACCUCUGCUGCCCUUGUUGCCACUCAGCAGGUGGCUGCACAGGCAUCUGCAUCUGGUAUGUUUCCUGCACAAAGAAGAGAAUGAUGAAUUUGGGGAUGAACAUUGUCAUGUGACUGGAUCACAUGAGGAAGCGCUUUAUUACAGACAUCAGUUCCAUGGUGUUAAUUUGAAAUGCCUUAAUGGCAGGCAAAAACCAGUCAUUUCAUUUUUGUAAAUUGCAGAUUUUAUCACAG
rnacentral:lncRNA from 1 species